GAGGCUUGCUGCCAUCUUGGAAGCAACCCGCCACCAUGUUGGGAGCUCUGGGAGCAAGGACCCCCGGUAACAUUGUGAUGUCUGCCAUGUUGUUUUCUAGGGAGAUGGAAGGGAGUCAAGGAUGUUGCCAUGUAUGUGCCAUCUCUGCCCUAAGCCAAUAUCAUGAAGAAAUCAACAAGAGGUGGAAUAAACUGAGCAAUUCAUCACCAUAUUAAGCUGGAUAUUCCUGUUUAGUAAAUAUCUUUCCCUAGCUGGUAUCCUUGCAUCCUGUGAGGGGGAGGAGGUGCAGGCACUAAGCAGAUUCCUGGAAAUCAAUGGCCAGAGGCGAUGUUUUCAGAGAGGCCUUCAUCCUUCUCCUAACAUUGCUUUGGUCUCCAGGCCCAUGCACUGCUAAGAUCCCAAGAUUCAGACUGGGGGAUGGGAGUUGAGGAGAUGCCACCUUUAGGCUGAGCUGGGAGCUUCUGUCCACCUUUAUCAGACUUGAUCAGACUGUGCACCCUGGGGUAUCACCCUCUGCUUCAAUUAACACAAUGACUUCCCACCUUCGCAUCCUCCUCCUUCAAGGGGGACUUGGCUCGGUCAAUUAUUUCCUUCACCUUUUGCAUGUUCAGUGUUUUCCUUUCUUCCCGAGGCUUCCCCUCUGUGGACCAACAUGUUCCUCCAUGGCAAAAACAAAAACAACCAGCCCAAACCAGUUCUUUCUGCCCUCCUGCCCUCUGCAGGUCAGCGCUGCCUCCUCCCUCCCUUUCAUGGCAUUGAAUGGUGAGAGUGCAAUACCCUCAGUGGCGCCUAACAGUCAGCAGUGAGCGCUCAGGACCGUCACCCACCUCUGCGGCCGAUGACCCUCUCUUUGGCUCUGGCCCCAGCCGGCCUUGCGCUGUUCCUUCUCACGGUUUUUCCUGGCUCAUCUUCGUGCCCCCUCCCCUGAGGGUCCUGGAGGUCUGAGCCCUCUGGCCGCCUCUCCUCUCUCCUUGCACUCCUCCUCUCAUGGAGCGACCCCGUCUGUGCCACCUUCUCACCUUCCAUGUCACACACCUUCAGCCUUCACUGAGGAGAGAGCAGGGCUGCAGCAUCGUGUUCCAGUCUCAUCCCUCACGGAGCCGAGAACUAAAAAUUGAAACAGAGAAACCUCCUGACAAGGCCGCUGGCAAGUUCAAUGGGAACAACUCAGGUUUUCAGAAAGAAGUAUGAUCCCUGGAGCCAGCGGGUUCAAAAGAACGAAGAGAUUUAUCAAGAAUGAGACAUACCAGACCAGCUGCGUUGCUUUCCAUUGACAGGAAGCAAAUCAGCUGCUCAGGAAAAGGUCAAGCAUGGCACCUGGUCUCAGAGAGGUGUCCGUCAAAGGCUGUCAUAACAGCCCUAUGGACAAGAAGGAGACCUGGGCCAGGUGAGAAUGAUGCAAAACCAUUUGUCCCAAGGAGUUGUGGAUGGGACUUAGGGAAAGGAGGGGCUCCAGAGGCACUGUGACAGUGUCAGAGUGACUACAGGCUCCUCAGGAGAUGUUGAGGGAAAAGAAAGGGCUGGGACGUGCCCUAAGACUUCUGUGCGCAGGCACUGGUCCCCUCUGCUGAUUCAGGGCUCCCCUAAAACAGCCACCCUCAUCACGAGUAUGGUACCAGGCAGUGGCAAAACCUGUUCAACAUCAGCAGGGCCGGGCGCAGUGGCUCAUGCCUGUAAUCCCAGCACUUUGGGAGGGCAAUGCAGGAGGAUCACUUGAGGCCAGGAGUUCGAAACCCCUUCUCUACAAAAAAUACAAAAAUCAGCCAGGCUUGAUGGUGCAUGCCUGUAGUCCCAGCUCCUUGGGAGGCUGAGGUGGGAGUAUUGUUUGAGCCUGAGAGGUUGAGGCUGCAGUAAGCUAUGAUUGCACCACUGCACCAAAGCAAGACCCCAUUUCAAAAAACAACAAACAAACCAAAAACACACCAGCAGGUUCUGACUGCAGCCUCAGAAAGCCCCCGGCUUUCCUGUUCAGCAAGCAGGCGCCCUGCAGAGUGAAGGAUGCUUUCCCAGAGCCACCCUCAAGUGCUGCUGGAGGCCCAGAUUCCUUCAAAUGACCUGGGCAGCCCUGCCGGAAUGCAGUGUGACAACAGAAACAAGUUGGCUGCUUGGGGAAACCAUGCGGGCAUCCCCAGGGUCUGAUUUGGUAACCGCAGAUAUUCUUUGAUAAAUUGUAGAACCAUUAGGCACUGGUCUGGGCAGUAUGUGUAUGGAUGGGGAAUCUGUUUAUGAGAAUAUAAAAUAAAACGUGCAAACACAGGAGAAGUAGAAGAUACAGGUGGCAGGGGUAGAGUGAGAACUGAAGUCAGGACUGGGGAGCUGGAGGAGGAAAUCAGGCCUGAAGAAACUUUGUGGCUGAAGCCAGCAAAUCUUGUAUAUAUAGGAUCUCCAUGAACUGUCCUAAAAUUUCCAAGAGAAGGAGACAUCCGUCAAGUAGAAGACAAAAAGGGAUGCUGACCAGGGAGGCCGGAUGCUGGAUGUGGUCUAGGAGGAAGCCUUGGAAUUUUCUCACUCUGGAUUGUGGAACCACAAAGUCAGCCUGGAGCUGCCUACAUCUGGACACCUAGGCUCCUGUCAGAGCCAGUUUAUUAUUUCCAGUCACUCAUUACUGGGAUUCUCCUCUCCCUGGGGCGUUAUGAAGUUCUGGAGUCUGGAAGUUCAAUAUCAAAGUGCCAGCAUCUGACAAGGGCCUUCUUGCUGAGACAUCCCAUGGCAGAAGCCAAAAGAGCAAGAGAGAGCGAGGGCAAGUGAGCAAAAGGAGGCCAAACUCACUUUUAAAACAGCCCACUCUAGAGAUAACUAACCCACUCCCUCAAAAAUGACAUUAAUCCAUCAGGAGAGCAGAACGCUUAUGACCUAAUCACCUUAUUAGGCCCCACCUCCUAACACUGUUGCAUUGGGGAUUAAGUUUCCAACACAUGAGUUUUGGAGAACACAUUCUCAAACCAUAGCAGCUUCCUUCCAAAACCUGUCUCAACUGCCCAAAGCCUUUUCCAGACUCUUCUUCUACUUGCAAACCCUCUAUUCAAACCAAAGAAACAAUUAAUAUAACCUUAAAUUUACAAAACCAUGUGGUUUGUUAAACAAUCACAUACAACCUUUUUUUUUUU
rnacentral:lncRNA from 1 species